rnacentral:rRNA from 1 species
GACGAACGCUGGCGGCGUGCUUAACACAUGCAAGUCGAGCGGUAAGGCCCUUCGGGGUACCCGAGCGGCGAACGGGUGAGUAACACGUGAGUAAUCUGCCCAUCACUUCGGGAUAACUCCGGGAAACCGGUGCUAAUACCGAAUAUGACCACUUCAGGCAUCUGAUGGUGGUGGAAAGUUCCGGCGGUGAUGGAUGAGCUCGCGGCCUAUCAGCUUGUUGGUGGGGUAGUGGCCUACCAAGGCUUCGACGGGUAGCCGGCCUGAGAGGGUGACCGGCCACACUGGGACUGAGAAACGGCCCAGACUCCUACGGGAGGCAGCAGUGGGGAUUAUUGGACAAUGGGCGAAAGCCUGAUCCAGCAACGCCGCGUGAGGGAUGACGGCCUUCGGGUUGUAAACCUCUUUCAGCAGGGACGAAGCGCAAGUGACGGUACCUGCAGAAGAAGCACCGGCCAACUACGUG